UUGGUUUACAGACACGUCUGCCAGAGAUUCUGGAACCUUUCCUACCAGCUGCACGCAAGUAAAUUUGACUGACACAAUCAUAUGUCUUCCUAAAAAGUUGGCUUCCUCACUGCUAAUAAUAGGCUUCCCAGGAUGGACUCUAGACACCAUGACCUUCUACUUUAGGUGAGGUGGGAGAGUGUCAAUUGUGGUCGCCCAAGCUUUCCAUCUCAAGCUUUCGCUCAAGAAAAGCAGCAAACUCACCAGCAGCUUGGUCUCGUUCUAUACUAAAUUUUCAAAAUGACCUGUCUGUGACAAUGGAGACCACAGAGGCUCAAGAGGUGCAGCCAAUACUUCAAAUAACACAAAUGUUACAGGUGCUUCACACAGGGUGCUUCUGAUGGCAACAAGGGGGCAUGAUUCAGAUAAAGCUGGAGGAAUUUGACCUAGGAUCUUGUGCUCGAGGUCUACAUUUGGAAACAUUCCCCAUAGAGAUGGCAUCCGAAGUUCUGAGUGAAGUAUUUGAUUUAUUUGGUCAACAACAACAAGAAAAAACAUGGAUCUUACCCUGUAGCCCAGGAACUUGGAGUACCCGUCCUUUCUCAGCUUCCUUGGGGUAGAGAUUCAUUUUACACCUUGUCUGUCAAGAUCAUAGACACUUGCCAGAUAUAUGAAGAAGGAUAUAUGAAGCCUAUGAGAAGCCAAGGCACAACCAGCAGAGAAUGAUUACCGAACUUUCUACUCUAAAUAAAUGAAUACAGUGGAGGACAAAUAAUUGAAGACUGAGAGAUGCAAAAAUAUUAAUAUCAAAAAUUGCAAAGACCACUGAGAUGUAAGGAAACCUUGGAAUGGGCCCGACAGCUGGAGGCUCUUCCGUGAAACAUCUGGAACCAGUGACUCAGAUGCUGUCACAUCCACAGGUGAUGUUUUGCUUUCUGUAUGUUUUAGCAAUUUAAAAAUAUUUCAUCUCUUAUGUAUAUUAGUUUUCUUAUUACUGCAGCUGGAAUUUCUAUACAGGGCAAAAACAUGUUUACUAAGUGCUCUUGAGAUUAACAUAGCACCACUUUUAGUUAUCCUGAUGAGAUUUCUCAAUUGUCUUUCUAAAAAUCCCCAGGAUGUCUCUCUUUGGCCUUGCUUGGGAGACCUUAGAAUUGUUAAGAGUUGAAUUGUGUGUUUCUACACGAUAUUUAAUUUUCAGGUUGUAUCUAUGAGUGUGACCUUACUUUUUGUAUAUUACUAACUUGAUGAUUUUAUUCAAAUGGGUCCUAAUCCACUAAGACUGAUGUCCUUGUAAAAAUAAGAGAUUUGGAUACAGAAACAGAAGAGUACGUGGAGGAGAAUAUCAUGUUAAGGUGGGGGCAGAGAGAGUAUGAUGCACCUACAAACAAAGGAAUGCAAACUAAUUCCAGCACACUACCAGGAGCUAGGAUGGCCUGAGCAGAAAUUAGCAUGAUGGAAACGACACACCUGAAUUAUUUACUAUCUCAACAUUUACAAAAACAAGAACCUGUUGACCCCUGAUCAAGAUGAAAAAACUGAGAGUUGAAAAAGGCUGAAAGUUUUUCUCAGGGAUGCUGCAGAACUGAUGUCUGAUCUUCUGGCUCCUGGACCAGUGCCCUUUCUAUUGUGCAGCCCUAGUUGUCAGCAAGAGAAAGACCAGCAAGAGCAGUUUUAUUGUUCCAGCAUGCUGGGGUCACCCUGCACACGAAGGAGCGAGAAAACACAACCAUGCGCAGCCCAUUUGGUUCUUGCUGAUACUUCCAUAUCUUCUUGAUGUAUACAUAUAUUCGUAUUGAAAGACCCCCGAAGGGAGACCCUCACUCAAGCCUCGGGACAGCCGCGGAC